GAUGAAGAACGUAGCGAAAUGCGAUACUUGGUGUGAAUUGCAGAAUCCCGUGAACCAUCGAGUCUUUGAACGCAAGUUGCGCCCGAAGCCACUAGGCCGAGGGCACGCCUGCCUGGGCGUCACACGUCGUUGCCCCCCCAUCUAAUCCUUCGGGAUUGCGGGGGGCGGAUGAUGGCCUCCCGUGCGCCUCGUCGCGCGGUUGGCAUAAAUGCCAAGUCCUCGGCGACGCACGCCACGACAAUCGGUGGUUGCGAAACCUCGGUUGCCCGUCGUGUGCGGUCGUCGCGCAUCGAGGGCUCGAAAAAAUGCUCGGCUCCGGCUGGGCUUUCAACGCGACCCCAGGUCAGGCGGGGUUACCCGCUGAAUUUAAGCAUAUCAAUAAGCGGAGGA
rnacentral:misc_RNA from 1 species